UAAAUAAAAGUACAGAUUAACCCAUUGUAACAGGGUUAUAACAUGGAAAACUUCUCACAUUUGUACCAAGGUUAGAUUUGAGCUAAUCACCCUAGCUAACAGGCACCAGUUCAAUAAUGAAACAUAUUUGCAUUGCCUUUAAAAAGUUCAUUCCUUAACAACAGGUGCUGUUUACUGACAUUCCUGAUCCAGUAUUACCAUAGUAUGACAUCAUGACUUGUCAUCCCUAAAUGAGAUGGCCAAAUUCACCUGUUUUUGCCUCUGAUACCCUAUAUUUACUGCUGAUUGGACACCAUGAUGGACUUUUUGCAUAAAAGAAAAAAAUAAAUGUAUGAUUUAUGAUUUUGAUUAUUAGAUAGGGUAGAGUCAUGAGAUAACUUUAAAGAGAUACAUUUAUAAUUGUACUUAUAACUGCUAUAAAGAAGAUUGGAAACCACUUCUUUGUAUCUUUUUUCUUUUCUAUUUUUCCUUUCGCUUUUCUUUCUUGCUUGCAGUUUUAGCUUUCUUUGAUUUUUUCCCCUUCCUUAUUAUAAUUACUUUGCAUUAGUUGUUACCUUUGUUUUUAAAACUUUAUACAUACAUACGUCAGUACAAAAUGUUAAUGAGAAAAUUAAAAAAAUUAACUUUUGUAAAGGCUCCACCAUUGUUUUAUGGCUAGCAGAAACCAACUGUACUUCACCUUCAUUUUCAAUUUUUGUACUGGCCCAUGGAAAUAUUAAAUAGUUG